UACGGAGGGUGCGAGCGUUAAUCGGAAUUACUGGGCGUAAAGGGUGCGUAGGUGGUUUAGUAAGUCAGCUGUGAAAUCCCCGGGCUCAACCUGGGAACUGCAGUUGAAACUAUUAAGCUAGAGUGCGGUAGAGGGAAGUGGAAUUUCCGGUGUAGCGGUGAAAUGCGUAGAUAUCGGAAGGAACAUCAGUGGCGAAGGCGACUUCCUGGACCGCAACUGACACUGAGGCACGAAAGCGUGGGGAGCAAACAGG
rnacentral:rRNA from 1 species